AUCUAAGCCGAAUCUAAUCGGCUUGAAACUUCAGCACCCCUUUCCUUCCUCUCUUUCUUUUCUUUAUCAUUUUCUCUUUCUGCUCAAAACACACCGUUUUAUUGUAGUUUAGAUUCCUUUUCCCCUGCCUCGUUGAAUACGCAGCAUCGACAAUCCGGCGAAGUUACUUCGGCAUUUUCUCUGCUUUUCAUCUUGAAUUAUUGUUUUCUUUUUAAAGAACGUCAGAACAUCAAAAUCCGGAUUAAUCAGAAAAUAAUCUCAGUUAUUCAUUUGCUCCGAAGAAUCUUACUUCAACUUCGCCAGGUUUUAAAAUCAUUGUUGGUAAUAUAACUUAAGCUGAAGUUAGCUUGAUUCUCGCCGGACAUGCUUGCUUGAAUGCUCGAAGAAAUGCCGAGUGUAAAUUGUUGUUUAAAUGUUGGUUUCAUGUUCAUAGCAGUGGCACUGGCAGCUGUUCUUUCACAAGCACUUACCGUUGCCUCAGUUGCUGUUCCGACAUCCAAUUGCUACGCGCUUGAUAAUUCUAGCCAUCUAUUGGAUUUCAGUGGUUGGGUCGGAGAUUCUUAUAUGUAUGAGGGAGAGGACGCUGACUUUGUCGUCCGCUUUUGCAAAGAUGUGGAGAGUAGAUCACAAUCGGGAUAUGUAGAUUUUGGUCGAUUCGAUAAUGUUAACCACUUUGUUGCUGCUUCAGGGCAUGUUGACCUUGUUCAAGGGUUUUACAAUGGUGACCUGCUGAAGUGUGAGCACACCUUUGACAAAUUGGGACGUACUGCACAGGUAAAUAUUAUAUGUGGAAAUUGUUUAAAUGGGCAAUGUAAAGGUCAACAUGGAUGCAUAUGCAAUGUCACUUAUGAAUCCACUUGCAGAGCCAUUGUUGAACUGGCCAUUCCAUGUGAGAAACCAGGUCCACGUGUAUUUGAGGGCUUCACUGUUGGAUUUCAUCCACGAUCAUGGGAAAUUGUUUACAAUGGUAUGACUCAGUUGGGUUUUGAAAAACCUCACCAUGAUUUUAGCUUCAGCACUGAACAGCCUCAUGUUGCCCUUUAUCUGACUGCUAUCUCAUCUCAUUCCAACCUAGUGCAAAAACCUAUUGUCAAGGUCUUUCCAGAAAAUGGGCUGGAGGUGAAGUUAUCAGGGACAGCGGCAACUGGGAAGCUACCUACAACUUUAUCACCCUCAACUUUGCUUGUAGAUUGGAGAUGCGUGAAGGCCCAUAAUACCCCAUAUGAAGUUAACAUCACUAUCCCUGUGGAUAGUUAUGAACCAAUAGAGUUUGUUCUAACAAAAACAUGUGAAUACACACAAAAUCAGGAAGGAUAUGCUAUGAGAGGGUGGGCAAUAUUUGGAAUAAUUUCUUGCAUAUUCAUGGUUUCAUCAACUCUGUUUUGCUGUGGAGGUUUUAUUUACAAGACACGAGUGGAACGCCAGCGGGGGAUUGAUGCACUGCCAGGCAUGACAAUCCUUUCUGCCUGUUUAGAGACUGUGAGUGGAGCAGGCCAAGGCUACUCACGAGCAGAGGACCUUAAUGCUGCCUUUGCCAGUGAAGUCUCCUGGGAGCGCCCAGCUGCUACUGCUCAAGGAAAAUGGACAACGAGCGAAAGAAAAUAUGGCUCAAUUUAAAUUUUGCAGUCCUUCCCUUACAAAAUGUGAAUUUUCUUCUGCCGAAUCACACACGUAUUGAUGCGAGGGAUGCAUGGAACUGGUAUAGGCAAUCAAUCACCGACUGUUGUCGACAUUGCCACGUGUACGAUCAGCAUGAUAUGUUAAAAAGGAUAACGUUAAUCAUAAUGUCAAAUGGGCCAAAUGUUGCAAUGACUAUUAAAAAAUAAAAAGGAGAAAAAGCUUAGGAAUCAGGAUAUGCUUUUUUAUAUUAUCUUUGGUUAAAGACUAUAAUCAAAAGAGGAGAAAGAAGAUGGCUUUGCUUUAAAGAGAAUAGUUCCCUUUCAAGGCUACCCUAACAGAAACUUUAUCAUCUUAUUGGAUUAGCGAUAUUAACCCAAUUAUCUCCAUACCCAAAGCUUCUUUUUACUUUACGAGUUUAUAUUUGAUAUAUUAUCAUUGUAUAACGAUCUUGAAAAUCCUAAAACUUUAUUUUUAUGUACUCAUGUGAUUAACCUAAUA